UCUGCCCCUGGAGGAGUUGCAGGUGUGGCUGCUGUGUCACAUGUGCUUCAGUAGGUGGUAGAGAGGAAAUCAGUCUGGCAGUUCCUCAGAAAACUGGGCAUGAUACUUCCGGAGGACUCUGCUAGGCAUAUA